GGUGAACGCUGGCGGCGUGCCUAACACAUGCAAGUCGAGCGGUGCAGUUUGAAGCUUCGGUGGAAAGCUGCAUAGCGGCGGACGGGUGAGGAAAACGUAGGAACGUGCCCCUUGGAGUUGGAUAGCCACGGGAAACUGUGGGUAAACCGACAUAGACUCGAGAGAGUAAAGGCCGAAAGGCGCCAAGGGAGCGGCCUGCGGCCCAUCAGGUAGUUGGUAGUGUAAAGGACUACCAAGCCGACGACGGGUAGCCGGUCUGAGAGGAUGGCCGGCCACAAGGGCACUGAGAGACGGGCCCUACUCCUACGGGAGGCAGCAGUGGGGGAUUUGGACAAUGGGCGAAAGCCUGAUCCAGCGACGCCGCGUGGAGGACGAAGCCCUUCGGGGUGUAAACUCCUUUUCUCAGGGAAAAAGGAUGAUGGUACCUGAGGAAUAAGCCCCGGCUAACUACGUG
rnacentral:rRNA from 1 species